GCGCAAUGGGCGAAAGCCUGACGCAGCAACGCCGCGUGGGGGAUGACGGCCUUCGGGUUGUAAACCUCUUUCGACAGGGACGAAGCUUUCGGGUGACGGUACCUGUAGAAGAAGCACCGGCUAACUACGUGCCAGCAGCCGCGGUAAUACGUAGGGUGCGAGCGUUGUCCGGAUUUAUUGGGCGUAAAGAGCUCGUAGGCGGUUUGUCGCGUCGGCCGUGAAAACCUGCAGCUUAACUGUGGGCGUGCGGUCGAUACGGGCAGACUUGAGUUCGGCAGGGGAGACUGGAAUUCCUGGUGUAGCGGUGAAAUGCGCAGAUAUCAGGAGGAACACCGGUGGCGAAGGCGGGUCUCUGGGCCGAUACUGACGCUGAGGAGCGAAAGCAUGGGGAGCGAACAGGAUUAGAUACCCUGGUAGUCCAUGCCGUAAACGUUGGGCGCUAGGUGUGGGGAUGGGUUCCACCGUUUCCGUGUCGUAGCUAACGCAUUAAGCGCCCCGCCUGGGGAGUACGGCCGCAAGGCU
rnacentral:rRNA from 1 species